GAUGAACGCUGGCGACGUGCCUAAUACAUGCAAGUCGAGCGAACAGACGAGGAGCUUGCUCCUCUGACGUUAGCGGCGGACGGGUGAGUAACACGUGGAUAACCUACCUAUAAGACUGGGAUAACUUCGGGAAACCGGAGCUAAUACCGGAUAAUAUAUUGAACCGCAUGGUUCAAUAGUGAAAGACGGUUUUGCUGUCACUUAUAGAUGGAUCCGCGCCGCAUUAGCUAGUUGGUAAGGUAACGGCUUACCAAGGCAACGAUGCGUAGCCGACCUGAGAGGGUGAUCGGCCACACUGGAACUGAGACACGGUCCAGACUCUUACGGGAGGCAGCAGUAGGGAAUCUUCCGCAAUGGGCGAAAGCCUGACGGAGCAACGCCGCGUGAGUGAUGAAGGUCUUCGGAUCGUAAAACUCUGUUAUUAGGGAAGAACAAAUGUGUAAGUAACUAUGCACGUCUUGACGGUACCUAAUCAGAAAGCCACGGCUAACUACGUG
rnacentral:rRNA from 1 species